GCCCGAUGAACUCUGGUGAUCUGUUAACUUUUCCCAUGAGGUGAAUGCUUGGUACUCGUUCAUCGGAUUGUGUAUUACUUGAGUUUGAACCAGAAAUUGAGAAAAGACUCCGUGAAACCCAAAGAGAACAAAGAGAAGUCAAUGAGAAAGAAAAGCAGCAAGAGAGCAAGAUGGCGUUAGUUCAUAAUGAGACGAUGGGAGAUCUUGAUAUUCCAACCAUUCUGGAAUCACCGUCAAGCAUAGCUCUUCCUACAGCUACAAGGAAUUAUGAAUUGAAGACUAUCCACUUUAAUAUGAUGCCUUCUUUUCAUGACAUGAGCACUGAAGAUCCAUUGGCACAUAUUAGAGAUAUCUUCAAUACGGUGUCAAACAUGGCAUUGGUAGAAGGAGUCACCGAGGAAAACCUCAGGAUGAAGGUCUUUCCAUACACUUUGAAAGACAUUGAAUUCUUUGAGGCCUAGAACCUUGACGAGUUGGAACGAUAUUCAAAAUAAAUUUUUGGAGAAAUUCUUCUCGACCCAGAAGACUGAUACUUUAAGAGAUAAUAUCAUG
rnacentral:sRNA from 1 species